GCGAUAAAAGUGUCAUUGCCUUAUAGUGCUGAAACAACUUUAUUUUUUUUCAGAAAUGGACAAAAAUACACAGAUUUAUUCAGAAUGUCAUACCGAUGAAGAUCACAUAAAAAUAUUUGGAAAAAUCAAAACUAUGGAUUUCAAUAUGGGUCAAUAUCUCUAAUGCGCCUCGAAAUGAGGAACUCAAAAGUUGUGUGUAAACAAAAAAUCUCUGUGUAGUGAUAUUGGACAUGUUUCUAUUUUUAACAAAUAACUGAGCUUAACCAUUUGUGGUGAUUAGGAAAGUAGAGGAACAUAGAAUAAAUGUGUAAAAACUAUGGAGCUAUUAAAUGUGUUCAAAGUAUUAAAUUUUCAAAGAACUUAUUGUGUCAAAAAAGGGAUUUUUUACCACGAGGAGCCGCAUCACGAAAGGAUGUUCGGGGUAUGCUAAUUUACGGAAAAAGUAAUCUCACUUCGUACCCCGAAAAUUUACCACAUAUGUGAAAAUGUCACAGCUUUGAAACGAGCUAUCAUACAUAUCCAAGUUUACGAUAUGGACUGAGCUACAGGAAAAAACGUUACCAUUACCGCCUAUGUAAAAACAAUUAAAGAUAUUGACCCAAAUUACAAGAAAAUUUUCAACAAUUUUCAGACUGAUUUAUGGAUGAUUGCACCUUGUACACCAGAGAAAAGUGUGAAAAUGACGUUCCAGACAUAUCAUUAAUUUUUAACCUGAGACGGCAAACUAGAGGUUUUAAAAAGUUCUGAAUAACUGAAAUGAACAAAAAUACACAGAUUUAUUCAAAAUGUCAUACCGAUAAAGAUCACAUAAAAAUAUUUGGAAAAAUCAGAACUAUGGAUUUCAAUAUGGGUCAAUAUCCCUAAUGCGCCUCGAAAUGAGGAACUCAAAAGUUGUGUGUAAACAAAAAAUCUCUGUGUAGUGAUAUUGGACAUGUUUCUAUUUUUAACAAAUGACUGAGCUUAACCAUUUGCGGUGAUUAGGAAAGUAGAGGAACAUAGAAUAAAUGUGUAAAAACUAUGGAGCUAUUAAAUGUGUUCAAAGUAUUAAAUUUUCAAAGAACUUAUUGUGUCAAAAAAGGGAUUUUUUACCACGAGGAGCCGCAUCACGAAAGGAUGUUCGGGGUAUGCUAAUUUACGGAAAAAGUAAUCUCACUUCGUACCCCGAAAAUUUAACCACAUAUGUGAAAAUGUCACAGCUUUGAAACGAGCUAUCAUACAUAUCCAAGUUUACGAUAUUGACUGAGCUACAGGAAAAAACGUUACUAUUACAGCCUAUGUAAAAACAAUUAAAGAUAUUGACCCAAUUAUGUGCGACAAGCAUGACCUGACCGUAUUCAUGGUAUUGUUUUAACCAUAGUACAAAACUCUGGAAAGCUGCUUUAGAAGUGACUGCAUGAACAGGUUUCCAUUGUAAAAAAGGAUAUUUCCAUUUGCUGUUAAACCAGUAACGGCACUGGAACUCGGCGUUUUUUGAUUUAUUCGGCUGAAAAUAAGUAUCAAACGUAUCACCAGAGACUAUGUUUAGUGCAGCUAUUUGCAGAAUUUCGGAAUCUAAUUUCAGCGAAGAUGUUUCUAGGCAAAAAAGUAUGCAACUACCAGUAAAAGAGCAAAAGGGCAAUAGUGCAGGUUUCUGUUUGAUUCCUGUAAUCUCUUUAUCUUCAGUUACUAAACUAAGAGACAAUCCCGAUUUAUAUGUAACACCCUGUUUUU